ACUCCUACGGGAGGCAGCAGUGGGGAAUAUUGGACAAUGGGCGCAAGCCUGAUCCAGCCAUGCCGCGUGAGUGAUGAAGGCCCUAGGGUUGUAAAGCUCUUUCACCGGUGAAGAUAAUGACGGUAACCGGAGAAGAAGCCCCGGCUAACUUCGUGCCAGCAGCCGCGGUAAUACGAAGGGGGCUAGCGUUGUUCGGAUUUACUGGGCGUAAAGCGCACGUAGGCGGACUAUUAAGUCAGGGGUGAAAUCCCGGGGCUCAACCCCGGAACUGCCUUUGAUACUGGUAGUCUUGAGUUCGAGAGAGGUGAGUGGAAUUCCGAGUGUAGAGGUGAAAUUCGUAGAUAUUCGGAGGAACACCAGUGGCGAAGGCGGCUCACUGGCUCGAUACUGACGCUGAGGUGCGAAAGCGUGGGGAGCAAACAGGAUUAGAAACCCUUGUAGUCCCAU
rnacentral:rRNA from 1 species